AGGACCAGAGAAUAUGUUCCUGGCUGGGACAGCCCGAACUGGAAGAAUGGGGAGAAAUUCUGAAUCCUUUUUUUGGUAAUAAACAGCAGCUAAGAACUUCAGGAAGACACUCUAUAGGCAAGCUGGCACCAGUGGAGAACAACCCAGAACACCAUGGGUCUGCUGUCGUGAUGAAGAUUGUGUUAUUACCAUUAUUUUGGUGAAUAUUGUACAAAGAGAGCUAACGCAUAUAGCAGCAAAGCAUGACCGGUGGACCAAGGCAUCUAGCUAACCGGAGCCAGGGCUUCCAGCUCGAGUGUCCCGUCGUUCAGUUUAUGGGAAGAAGGGGUGCCUGGGCCCUUCUUUGAAGAAAAUGGGGGAGUGUUGAGGAUAGAUACGCGUUGCAGCUGCAUGAGGAAUAUGGUUGUCUGAAGGAUACCCUUUGGGUGAAGAAGUGUUAUCUCCCCCCUCCCUUCCUCUCCCAGCUACAUAAACAAGCUGAGAGUUAUGACCCUUCCUCCCUCCCCUGUGAACUGCUGAUU